UUGCAAUCUGACCCCCCAAACCAUGAUCCUGUGGACUUAAGGGGCCAGUCUAGGCUUAGCAAAACUUUAGCCUUUAAGAAAGCUUCUGGAUGCUUUAGCUGGGGGUAGCUAAGGUCACAGCUUCAUUGGCUUCCCGCAGUACCAAUCUCCACGUCAGGUGGUGUAAGGAAGCCUGCACUCACUGGCUUGGCCUUCGUCUGCCGUACGGGAGCACAACUCAGGGUCCGUUUAGUAUGGAGAUAAUGGGAUGUGAGUUUAUGGGUCUGGUCAAUUCCAUGUUAUCUCUAGUUAUAUACUGGCAUAUCUUCCAGGGCAAUUUCCAUUGCCCCCGUGUGUUGAGACCUGGAAUAGUAACACAGAGAUUUGGGGCAGAGGGUCUGUCUUCAUAUUGAUCUGUGUGAUUGUCUCAUCACUAGGAGAGAGCUGAGGAGAAGCAAGGUUGGAGACAGAGUUGAAAGCUGGUGCACGUAGAAUUCUCCCAGAUCCUACAGCUCAAUGACAGGAACUUGACUGCGAUUUGCCCCAGAGCUGUCAAUAAUCCUAAAAAUGCAGACGAUGUGCCAUUGAUAAAGACACAGACUCGCAACAAGUGUUAAAAGAAAGACAUUCUUCCUCCAAGUCUCUGAAUAAAAAUGAUAAGAUGAUUAUCACAGAAGGAGCAAAAAUGGGAAUAAAUAUCAUGGCCAAGUGAUCAAAGGCAGAGUU
rnacentral:lncRNA from 1 species